rnacentral:lncRNA from 1 species
GGGUUCUAUCGGGUUCGGGUCGGGGUUAGUAAAUCUUCAAAGAACCGGUACAACCCAAUAUACUUUCGGGUUCGGGUCCCAAUCGGUUUUUCGGUUUAAAAGUACCUGAUUUUUACCUAUUUUAUAACCAAAACAUGAGUAAAAUCGGUUCUUCAGUUUUAAAAUACCUGAUUUGUACCUAUUUUGUAACCAAAACUUAAGUAAAAUCGAU